CGGAAAUUUCCGACGAAACCUUCGGAAAUUUUCGGAGGUCCGCAGAUGUCCGGAAUUAUGUUUGGAGAUUUCCGGAAUUCCAAAACAACCUGCGUGAAGGUGGAAGAAAAACUCAAAACUCAAUCAAACGACCUCCAAAAAUCACAAAAUUUUAACCAUAGCUUCUCAACAACAUAAAAAAUAUAUUCCCAAAAGAUCUACUCAAAAAAUUUAGCCAAACAAAGGGAAUUAAAAAUCUUCUGAAGAAUACCGCUUUUCCAACCCUAGAACUUGAAUCGCCCCG
rnacentral:lncRNA from 1 species